rnacentral:rRNA from 1 species
UACGUAGGGUGCGAGCGUUGUCCGGAAUUAUUGGGCGUAAAGAGCUUGUAGGCGGUUUGUCGCGUCUGCUGUGAAAAUCCGGGGCUCAACCCCGGACUUGCAGUGGGUACGGGCAGACUAGAGUGUGGUAGGGGGAGACUGGAAUUCCUGGUGUAGCGGUGAAAAUGCGCAGAUAUCAGGAGGAACACCGAUGGCGAAGGCACUCUACUGGGCCAUGACUGACACUAAGAGACGAAAGCUAGGGGAGCAAAUGGG